UACGACUACAUAUCAGGCAUAUCAAUAAGCGGAGGAAAAGAAACUGACAAGGAUUCCCUUAGUAACGGCGAGUGAAGCGGGAAGAGCUCAAAUUUGAAAUCUUCAAGGUUUUACCUUGACGAAUUGUAGUUUAAAGAAGUGUUUUCUGUUGAAGUUUUGGUAAAAGUUCUUUGGAAUAGGACAUCAUAGAGGGUGAGAAUCCCGUAUUUGACCAUUAUUUUCAGCUGUGUGAUACACUUUCAAAGAGUCGGAUUGUUUGGGAAUGCAGUCCAAAAUGGGUGGUAAAUUUCAUCUAAAGCUAAAUAUUGGCGAGAGACCGAUAGCGAACAAGUACCGUGAGGGAAAGAUGAAAAGAACUUUGAAAAGAGAGUUAAACAGUACGUGAAAUUGUCAAAAGGGAAGCGUUUGACACCAGUGUUGUUUUCUCGAAAAUCAAUUAAAAAUGGUUGGAUUUUGUGUUGUAUUGACCUUAACAGCUUGCUUCACUCUUUUCCAGCUUUUUUUAAUGCACUUUUCGUUUAACAAGUCAACAUCAGUUUCUUUUGUUGUAAAAGGGUCAUUGGAAGGUGGCUUUCUCUUCGGAGAAAGUGUUUAUAGCCUUUGAUCUCUGCAAUCGGAGAGACUGAGGUCUGCAGCGUAGAUCCUUCGGGGUUAGAUACAUUUGUGCUAAGCUACAGCUUUUCAUAGACAACUUGUUGACUAUGAUUCAGUCAUGUGACUUACUCGCUUAUGCUAUUUUACCUACGCUUAGGAUGUUGAGCGCAUGUCUCUCUCU
rnacentral:rRNA from 1 species